AAUUUUUGGCAAGGUGCUGAGAUGACGAGAGACAUUUUAUUAAUUACUAUAGCGAUAACUCUUUUUUAGCACUUUGCUCUCUUUUACCCUGAUAAAUCUAUCUCAUCCAAUGUGUCCUAACUGUUCUUUCAAAAGGCCACUAGGUAAAUGUUCUGUGUGCUAGGAGACAAGUCACACAUUCUGCUCAGAACAAGCAGACCUUAGACGGUUGUAUUUGGGAUCCAUGCAAUGAACAGAAUGAGAGCAAAUUUGUA